GUACGCUGUGUCCAGCCCAGAGGUGAAAGCCAUCCAAAGCAGAGUAACUGUGCUUUGUGUCCAAGUUGAUACCUGUGGAGAGGAAAGGAAAGAGAGAGUGAGUAACACAAGGAGAACCAGAGGGAACCUGUACUUACAGUACGCUGUGUUCAGCCCAGAGGUGAGAGCCAUUCAAAGCAAACUAACUGUGCUAUUGUGCCUAAGUUGAUACCUGUGGAGAGAAAAGGAGAGAGAGUGGGUAACACGAGGAGAGACCGAGGAAACCUGUACUUACGCCGCUGCCUGUGGAGAAAGAGAAAGCGAGUGAGCACCCAAGGAACGAACUGUGUGAACCAGUACUUACUGUCAGCUGCAAUCAGCGAAGAGCCGUUGCCUGUGGAGGAAGAGAAAGAGAGUGAGCACCUCGAGAACGAACUGUGUGAACCAGUACUUACCGUGAGCUGUAUUCAGCGAAGAGGAGGAAGAAGGAGGGCGCUACGGAUACCUAAGACUCAGGCCGGGGCCCGAGUCCCACGCCCCGGAUCCCCGUGGCCCCCUUGCUCCCUGACCUCUUCCCGGCCAUAGCCCAUCUGGAGGGCCGAGUCAGAGUUUAGUUUUAAUUGCCCUUUCCCUAUUCCCCAAGCUAUUUUUAAAUAUUUAAAUAAAGAUUGUUUUAUCACUUACUUGUUCUCGUGU
ensembl:lncRNA